GGGGGGGCGAAGCGUUGUUCGGAAUUACUGGGCGUAAAGGGCUCGUAGGUGGCCAACUAAGUCAGACGUGAAAUCCCUCGGCUUAACCGGGGAACUGCGUCUGAUACUGGAUGGCUUGAGAUUGGGAGAGGGAUGCGGAAUUCCAGGUGUAGCGGUGAAAUGCGUAGAUAUCUGGAGGAACACCGGUGGCGAAGGCGGCAUCCUGGACCAACACUGACGCUGAGGAGCGAAAGCCAGGGGAGCAAACGGGAUUAGAUACCCCGGUAGUCCUGGCCCUAAACGAUGAAUGCUUGGUGUGGCGGGUAUCGAUCCCUGCCGUGCCGAAGCUAACGCAUUAAGCAUUCCGCCUGGGGAGUACGGUCGCAAGGCUG
rnacentral:rRNA from 1 species